rnacentral:rRNA from 1 species
GACGAACGCUGGCGGCGUGCCUAAUACAUGCAAGUAGAACGCUGAAGAGAGGAGCUUGCUCUUCUUGGAUGAGUUGCGAACGGGUGAGUAACGCGUAGGUAACCUGCCUUGUAGCGGGGGAUAACUAUUGGAAACGAUAGCUAAUACCGCAUAACAAUGGAUGACACAUGUCAUUUAUUUGAAAGGGGCAAUUGCUCCACUACAAGAUGGACCUGCGUUGUAUUAGCUAGUAGGUGAGGUAACGGCUCACCUAGGCGACGAUACAUAGCCGACCUGAGAGGGUGAUCGGCCACACUGGGACUGAGACACGGCCCAGACUCCUACGGGAGGCAGCAGUAGGGAAUCUUCGGCAAUGGGGGCAACCCUGACCGAGCAACGCCGCGUGAGUGAAGAAGGUUUUCGGAUCGUAAAGCUCUGUUGUAAGUCAAGAACGAGUGUGAGAGUGGAAAGUUCACACUGUGACGGUAGCUUACCAGAAAGGGACGGCUAACUACGUGCCAGCAGCCGCCGUAAUAC